AAAGUCGUAACAAGGUUUCCGUAGGUGAACCUGCGGAAGGAUCAUUAGAACAGCGUGGCUGGGAGGUGGACUCGGUUGACUCUUACACUAAAAAAAAAAGAGUCCCGAGUCUGGUCUGGCCACCGAAAAUUCUUCUUCCCACCUGUGCACUUAUUGAAAGGACGACCUUUUUUCCGAGAUCAUCUUCUCGGAAGAAGGGGAAAACCAACCUAUUGCCUGAUAUUUUGACUGAACUUUUUAUAAAAUUUUAAUACAACUUUCAACAACGGAUCUCUUGGCUCUC
rnacentral:misc_RNA from 1 species